GCCAAUAAGAGCUGUUAGCCAUGACCCAUUUUGAAAAACCCUGGUCGGACCCUUUCACAUUACUGGCAACCUGUGUAAGAUCCGGGGGAAAAACCCAGCUCCAGAAGUCAGGCUGAAGGUACCUGCUGAAAAGAGAUCUUCGCGCCAUCAAGAGUAUCUGGCUGAAAACUUUACUUAUCUAUAAUGUUUAUGUUGUAUGUCCAUCACGUCCAUGACCACCCAGACCACCGGCUGAAGAGUGUGAAGAUGCAUCUGCUGACCAAGUGCUGGUGUUGACACCCAUCGACACGCUUGACCUCCCAGAUGUGGGUAAUGUUGAUACCCAACAGCAAUAACAACAAACAGCCGGACCAACCACAUCUAAACCAGACCGCACUCCAUCUGUGGUGGAAUUUACACUGUCUUUCAAAAACUUUGUAUCAUUUUCUGC